CAAAUAACAAUAUUCUGAAAUAUUCUGAAAAUAGGAUUUUAAAGAAAAACACUGCGACCGCUGGAGGUCCCUAUUGUAUUUGCUAGAAUUCUUCUUACCUAUUAUUAUUUUUACCCCCCUGAACAUAUACGAAAACUCAAUUUUAUUUAGCAAAGUUGUCAGGUCUGGUUAAAAUGGGAUAUUCUAUGCAUCAUAUCUACAAACGUCUACAAAAUCAGAAAAAUGAGUCUUCCUCAAUAUUAGUUGUGUUCUGGGCCCUUGCUGCCAAUAAUCAGCAGGUACAAGUUAAAAGGAAGUCACAUGACUUACAGAAAGUGAGCUGCAGGAUGAAGCUCAGAUGAGAAACUCUGCUGCAGUCAGACAGACGGACAAACACAGAGCCUGACUUCACUUUCACACUUUAUCCAAACAGAACUUUCACAACAGACUUGAUCUCAGUUGUCUGGUCUCUGGUUGGAGGAUCAGAAGGACACAGAGACCUCCAUCAUGGCCACCGCUGACCAGCUGCUGGAGCUGAUGUUCUCCUGGAUUGAGCAGAUGGAGGACUGUGCAGAGCAGCUGAUGACUCUGGCCCAGGAGCUGGAGUCACUCAGAGAGAAAUAGAGGAGGAGAGUGAUGAAGAGAAGAAACCUCCUGGAACUAUAAGAGUGGGGUUACUUAAUGUUCGCUCAAUGGAAAGAAAAACAUUUGAGAUCUUUAAGCUCAUAAUACAAAACAACCUGGACGUCUUUCUCACAACAGAGACGUGGUUAAAAAAUCAUCAUCAUCAUCAAUGUGUAUCGUCGACCGAACCGCCCACAGCCCGAGUUCCUUACAUUUCUGGAUGAGUUUGAAAAGGUCUUACAUUAUUUCAGCUCCUACAACAGCAUCAUUGUGGCUGGAGAUUUCAAUAUCCAUGUCUCUAAGGAAAAGAGGGGUUUCACUGAUGAGUUUGAUCAUAUUUGGCCGAUCUACAGCCUUGAGCAGCAUGUACAGGUGCUAACACACAAAGAAGGUAACACUCUGGAUCCGGUCCUCACCAGAAAUGUUAAAAUCUCUGAUCUUGUUUUCCGAGAUGACGGAAUAUCAGAUCAUUACACCGUAUAUUUCAGUGCGUGUCCGAAUCCGAGUCGUUCACUCUGCAGAGCAACGAGCGGAACGCUUUUCCUCUUGCUAGCUGCGGCAGCGGACAUCGCACAGCAAAGACAGUUUGGACUUCAGAACCACAAUUCUGAUCAGCCUGGCUUACAGGACCGCCGGCUGACCCAUAUAGCUCACCCGCAACUCUUCUAUAUCUCCAUUGGACUGUCUGUAACGUACUGGACAUAGACAGGUUAGAUAGAUUAGAUUGUAUAUUGUGUAUUUUCCUCUGUUUGCUUUUAUUAUAUCUGGUUAAUAAAUGUUUGUGUUUACAUA